rnacentral:lncRNA from 1 species
CCUGCCCCUGCUGGGUGCUGGGACUAAAGGCCUGCACCACACGCCUGACUGGUGAAUUGUCUUCUAAUUCUAAAUCUGGUACUAAGUGCUCUAAGAAAGCUCAAGAGGCUCACUGGUGUUGUGGUGGCCCAGGGCGUCAGUAGUGCCGUGACCUCCAGCAAGCGUAUGGCCUGGCAGUGGAGACUGACUAACCCUAAGUUUCCCCUCGUUGAUGUGCUCAUAGAUCGCGUCUGCGCCCUGAUCCAAGGCACGCUCGAAGAACAGGGCGCCCACUGCGAUGGUGAGGGCGAAGGUGGAAGUUCUGCGGAACAGCAAGGAGUACAGACGCGAAGGGAUCGUCGGCAACGACAUGUUGCCUCACUGCCGAACUCGCGCCACUGCCAGAUGUAUUUCUUUAUGUUCCGGUGCCACAUGCAUGCCUGGUACCUGAGGAUGACAGAAGAGGACAUCAGGUCCCCUGGAACUUGAGUUGCAAUUCUGGAAAAGGGUCCCACCCCUGCCAAAGAGCGGCAGAAAACGAGAAACGGCGCUUCCUGAUAUUCUCCCUGGCCCUUGUAUCCUGUCUU